CCUACGGGUGGCAGCAGUGAGGAAUAUUGGUCAAUGGACGAGAGUCUGAACCAGCCAAGUAGCGUGAAGGAUGACUGCCCUAUGGGUUGUAAACUUCUUUUAUAUGGGAAUAAAGUGAGGCACGUGUGCCUUUUUGUAUGUACUUUAUGAAUAAGGAUCGGCUAACUCCGUGCCAGCAGCCGCGGUAAUACGGAGGAUCCGAGCGUUAUCCGGAUUUAUUGGGUUUAAAGGGAGCGUAGAUGGGUUGUUAAGUCAGGUGUGAAAGUUUGCGGCUCAACCGUACAAUUGCAGUUGAAACUGGAAGUCUUGAGUACAGUAGAGGUAGGCGGAAUGCGUGGUGUAGCGGUGAAAUGCUUAGAUAUCACGAAGAACUCCGAUUGCGAAGGCAGCAUACUGGACUGCGACUGACGUUGAGGCACGAAAGUGUGGGUAUCAAACAGGAUUAGAUACCCGUGUAGUC
rnacentral:rRNA from 1 species